rnacentral:rRNA from 1 species
GACGAACGCUGGCGGCGUGCCUAAUACAUGCAAGUAGAACGCUGAAGGAGGAGCUUGCUUCUCUGGAUGAGUUGCGAACGGGUGAGUAACGCGUAGGUAACCUGCCUGGUAGCGGGGGAUAACUAUUGGAAACGAUAGCUAAUACCGCAUAAGAGUAGAUGUUGCAUGACAUUUGCUAAAAAGGUGCAAUUGCAUCACUACCAGAUGGACCUGCGUUGUAUUAGCUAGUUGGUGGGGUAACGGCUUACCAAGGCGACGACACAUAGCCGACCUGAGAGGGGGAUCGGCCACACUGGAACUGAGACACGGCCCAGACUCCUACGGGAGGCGGCAGGAGGGAAUCUUCGGCAAUGGACGGAAGUCUGACCGAGCAACGCCGCGUGAGUGAAGAAGGGUUUCGGAUCGUAAGGCUCGGUUGUAAGAGAAGAACGAGUGUGAGAGUGGAAAGUUCACACUGUGACGGUAGCUUACCAGAAAGGGACGGCUAACUACGUG